CCUACGGGUGGCAGCAGUGAGGAAUAUUGGUCAAUGGGCGGAAGCCUGAACCAGCCAAGUCGCGUGCGGGAUGAAGGCCCUACGGGUCGUAAACCGCUUUUGCACGGGGAUAACACCCUCCACGUGUUGAGGGCUGCAGGUACCGUGCGAAUAAGGGCCGGCUAAUUCCGUGCCAGCAGCCGCGGUAAUACGGAAGGCCCGAGCGUUAUCCGGAUUCAUUGGGCUUAAAGGGAGCGCAGGCGGGCGUUCAAGUCAGCUGUAAAAUCGCGCGGCUCAACCGCGCCCCGCAGUUGAAACUGGAAGCCUUGAGUUCACAACAGGUAGGCGGAAUUCGUGGUGUAGCGGUGAAAUGCAUAGAUAUCACGAGGAACCCCGAUUGCGAAGGCAGCCUGCCGGGGUGCGACUGACGCUGAGGCUCGAAGGUGUGGGUAUCAAACAGGAUUAGAUACCCUAGUAGUC
rnacentral:rRNA from 1 species